rnacentral:rRNA from 1 species
GACGAACGCUGGCGGCGUGCUUAACACAUGCCAGUCGAACGGAAAGGCCCUGCUUUUGUGGGGUGCUCGAGUGGCGAACGGGUGAGUAACACGUGAGUAACCUGCCCUUGACUUUGGGAUAACUUCAGGAAACUGGGUCUAAUACCGGAUAUGAGCUCCUGCUGCAUGGUGGGGGUUGGAAAGUUUCGGCGGUUCGGGAUGGACUCGCGGCUUAUCAGCUUGUUUGUGGGGUAGUUGUUUACCAAGGCUUUGACGGGUAGGCGGCCUGGGAGGGUGAACGGCGACCUGGGGCCUAAGAGACGGACCAGAAGCCAACGGGAGGCAGCAGUGGGGAAUAUGACACAAUGGGCGGAAGUGUGAUGCAACAACGCCGCGUUCGGGAUGACGUGCUUUGAGGUGUGAACAGAUGUGUAAGGAGACGAAGCGUUCGUGACGGUACUGGGUAAAGAAGCAACGGCUAACUACGUG